GAUGAACGCUGGCGGCGUGCCUAAUACAUGCAAGUCGAGCGAACGGACGAGAAGCUUGCUUCUCUGAUGUUAGCGGCGGACGGGUGAGUAACACGUGGAUAACCUACCUAUAAGACUGGGAUAACUUCGGGAAACCGGAGCUAAUACCGGAUGAUAUUUUGAACCGCAUGGUUCAAAAGUGAAAGACGGUCUUGCUGUCACUUAUAGAUGGAUCCGCGCUGCAUUAGCUAGUUGGUAAGGUAACGGCUUACCAAGGCAACGAUGCAUAGCCGACCUGAGAGGGUGAUCGGCCACACUGGAACUGAGACACGGUCCAGACUCCUACGGGAGGCAGCAGUAGGGAAUCUUCCACAAUGGGCGAAAGCCUGACGGAGCAACGCCGCGUGAGCGAUGAAGGUCUUCGGAUCGUAAAACUCUGUUAUUAGGGAAGAACAUAUGUGUAAGUAACUGUGCACAUCUUGACGGUACCUAAUCAGAAAGCCACGGCUAACUACGUG
rnacentral:rRNA from 1 species